rnacentral:rRNA from 1 species
AUUGAACGCUGGCGGCAGGCCUAACACAUGCAAGUCGGACGGUAGCACAGAGGAGCUUGCUCCUCGGGUGACGAGUGGCGGACGGGUGAGUAAUGUCUGGGGAUCUGCCCGAUAGAGGGGGAUAACCACUGGAAACGGUGGCUAAUACCGCAUAACGUCGCAAGACCAAAGAGGGGGACCUUCGGGCCUCUCACUAUCGGAUGAACCCAGAUGGGAUUAGCUAGUAGGCGGGGUAAUGGCCCACCUAGGCGACGAUCCCUAGCUGGGCUGAGAGGAUGACCAGCCACACUGGAACUGAGACACGGGCCAGACUCCUACGGGAGGCAGCAGUGGGGAAUAUUGCACAAUGGGCGCAAGCCUGAUGCAGCCAUGCCGCGUGUAUGAAGAAGGCCUUCGGGUUGUAAAGUACUUUCAGCGGGGAGGAAGGCGAUAAGGUUAAUAACCUUGUCGAUUGACGUUACCCGCAGAAGAAGCACCGGCUAACUCCGUGCCACCAGCCGCGGUAA